UACGGAGGGGCUAGCGUUGUUCGGAAUCAUUGGGCGUAAAGGGCGCGUAGGCGGCCGAUCAAGUCGGAGGUGAAAUCCCUCGGCUCAACUGAGGAAUUGCCUUCGAUACUGUUCGGCUUGAGUCCUGGAGAGGGUAGCGGAAUUCCCGGUGUAGCGGUGAAAUGCGUAGAGACCGGGAAGAACACCAGUGGCGAAGGCGGCUCUCUAGUACGGUACUGACGCUGAGACGCGAAAGCGUGGGGAGCGAACAGG
rnacentral:rRNA from 1 species